UACUGUCUUAGUGGCGGACGGGUGAGUAACGCGUGGGCAACCUGGCCCUGUACCGGGGGAUAACACUUAGAAAUAGGUGCUAAUACCGCAUAAUAGGGAAUACCGCAUGGUAAUCCUUUGAAAACUCCGGUGGUACAGGAUGGGCCCGCGUCUGAUUAGCCAGUUGGCGGGGUAACGGCCCACCAAAGCGACGAUCAGCAGCCGGCCUGAGAGGGUGGACGGCCACACUGGGACUGAGACACGGCCCAGACUCCUACGGGAGGCAGCAG
rnacentral:rRNA from 1 species